AGGCCUGUAGCACGAAGAAGAACCUGUCAGCCUGCAGGAGCAAACAAGAAAUGUGCCAGUUUAGCUGACCUGGUGCCUACAGAAGCAACGCACUUUCAAGAAUAAAUGGUCUUUCAGCUUAUCGCCAGCAACUUUGCUGAAGAUAUCAUCCUUGAGAAACCACGUCUCUCUUCUUCCACUCCCAGAUUACUGCAGAAGUGAUCUACAAAGGCACUUCAUGGACCCCUUCAUUUAAAACAGAGGGCCAGUGGUAUUUCUCCGGAGGACCCAGCUUUGGGACACACCCUGAUUCUGAAACAGCUGGUUUCAGAGUGUUUUAUAGGGAAUACUAUUUAUGGGGGUUUCUGCUGGCAAGUGCUGGAGGUGGAGAAACUGUUCUGAAAUGAUGCCUUAGAGGUAGUGCAGCAGCAGUACUGCACCAGCAGCUCCUCCCCAUGAGCUCGGCUGCUCAUCCCUGCCCAAACAAAUCACGCGCUUCAUCUGCUCUUUAUAUAUUCUGCUACUGAUAAUAACUACGUAGCUAGAGUUCUCUUCUGAAAUUUUGAAAAAAAUAUGGUAUGAAUUAAGAAUCCUCCCUAAUUUUCAUGAAAAUAAGGAGAGAGACAUAAAUCUCACAUGAUAAUAAAGCUUUGUUAGAAAGGUAUUAUUUAGCUCUGCUUGUAGCUUUAUUCAAUCUGGACAAACCCAAAUAUAAUUUGAUCAUUUUUGAUUUAAAACACAGUUUUUCCAUAUUGGCAUUGUUUUAAUCCUAAAAGAGAUCUGUGUAAGUAAGCUGGGCUGUGACAGCCAUGUAUUAAAUCCUGGAAUUAGAAUUCAGGAUUUAUUGUUGUAGUAACGAAGCUCCAAGACACAAGCAUCUGGUAGCAUAGAGGUAUCUUCCCAAGUUAAUGCAACAAAACUAAAACCGGAAUAAUUCUCUAACAAAAGUAUGUACUGCUUCAGUAUGUAGUUUUUAUCAUUGAAAAGUGCAGUCUUUUGUAACUUGAAGAUAAAGAUUUUAAUGAGAAUUUUUGUGAACAUAUUACUUUCCUGUUAAAAUACUUGAAAUGCUUUGUUAAUCCUAGUAAAGCAGAAAAUGGAAUGUAAAGAUGAAUGGAAUUGAAAUAAUACUGUCCUCCUCUAUGGAAAAAUUACCGUAGAACUGAAUAAGAAUGAUGUGUUCUCUGCAGAAACUGUAAACACUAAGUAGAGUAUUACCAAGAAUUUCUACAAGGCAUGACUAAUUUAAUCCCUGUUAAAGUAAAUGGGUACUUUUCAUAAUUUUUGAAAAUAUGGGAGUACCUAAUCUGUAUUGCCAUAGCCAAGAUACCCACUUCUACUUCACUUUCAGAUUUGCAACCAUAUUGAUUGUUUUUAGCCAAGGACUAAAUGAAAAGGUGAUUAAAAUAAUGAACAAACAUUUCAAAAUACAGCUAAUGUAUUGGACCUGAUUCUUCCUCACUGCCAUAAAUGAUACCUUAUGGAGCAAGACCUACUUAUAUUUAUAUCUCUGGUUUGCUUUAGUGGUUGCAAAGGAAAUACUCCUACCUAUAAAAUCCAGCUUUUCGUGGCUAUCAUGUGACUUAAAGGCAUAACCUCCUAAAGAUGGCAGUCUGGUUUUGUAGAAUAAAUCCAGAUUCAGGGUAAGCUCUUUCAAAAUUCAGCAGAUUUUUGGUUGGAGUCCCACCUAUCUUAAAUGCUUAUCUUAUGAGAGGAUGAAUAACUCUUUGGCAGUGGCUAUUUCUCUCCCCGAUAAGAGGGUAUGCCUGAAUGUUCUUGUCUAUCAUUGUACCUAAGUUUUAGAGGCCUGAAGUAAGGAGAGAUUAGUUCUCCUUAAAGUGGCUAUGUUUUUUAGAGGAUAAAGAAAUGAAAAGUCAGUACAUUAUUUUUCUUACUUAAAUACCAGAAGAAAUAAUGAAAAAAGACUAUUUUAAUAUUGUCUCACUGUAGCUGCCUAUUGUAUUAAUACCACCACUUCAUAAAGAGCCCAAAUGUAUUUAUGUAACCUACAGAUAUUCUGAAUGACAAUCUAAAAUUAAACAUGAAUAUAGAAAAAAAUAUUGGAUGUAUAAUCAUUUCAGUAUAUAAGCGCAUUCUAAAUCGUACUAGACAAUAAUCUAGUAUCAUAUGAGAAAAACCAAAGCAACUAGACUUUUGAUUCACAAAAAACUAACACAGUCAAAAAUAAAGUCCCAAAUGACAAAACACAAUUUUACAUAGUAAUUUUCUACUUAAAGAAAACUUAAAAAAAAAUACUUAAAGGAGUAUUAUCUUCUACUUAAAAAAAAACUUACUGGCAAUAAUUUAUGCCAGUAUGUUUAUAUCGCUAUGGUCAUAUUGAUAAAAGUUUCUAGAGAAAAGAGUACACAGGAAUAAUUAUGUUAUAAAAGUCUUACAGUAUAAAUACCAGGUUAUAAUCAAACUAUUAUAUUUCCUUCUGCAGAGAAGCCCUACUGAAAAUGAAAGAAUGCCUGCAUCAUUUGCCACCUGCAUGAGGGAUAGCUCCUUCUGAAACCACAAACUGAUCUCAACAACCUGAAGCUUAGCCUGGCUUCAGAUAGCUGCAUUUGUAGGAGAUGAUUUUCUUUAUAAUGGAACAUACCAAAGUGCUGGAUCUGAAUAUUACUGAAGCAUGUGUUCUACCAGUAUGAACCAUUCUUCUAAUUCCUUAUUUCUGUAUUUUACCCUGAAAUCACUCAUGUGAAUAAUGAUUGCCACAUAGAACUGUGUGAAAUGCUCAAAAAGAAGUCUCAUUCCAUGGAAAAAACAUUUUGCUUUCAAUUGGUUUUGUUUUUAAAUCAACUGGAAGCCCAAACCAAAUUCCUUUUAACACUUUUAGAAUGCCUGAGCUGAUUUAUGGUUUCAUUUCAACACAAUGAAAAGAGUACUAAUGACAGGAAAUAAGGUAAAACUUGAGAGAUUUUGGCCAGUAUUCAUGUGGAGUUUGGAGCGUUACUAACUCUGAAGUGUGUAAAACUAGUCCAGGAAGGAAGGAAAUAUCCAUGCUAGCCUUUCUGAGGCAAAAUUAUUUCACAAAACUUAAAGUUUUUGCUAUAUUGAUAAAACAAAAAUGCUAGGGUCAUACCACCCUGCUGACCAUACAAGGCUCCCUCUUGAAUUAAAUGCUCAGCAAUUAAACAUUGGAGACUCUGUAAAUACUGUUUGAUAAAAAUGGCUGGUGCCUGUCCCAGAUAAGGUCCUCUCUGAAACAUAGUUAGACUUUGAUAGCUGGAUUAACACACACUUUGAGUAAACAGUGAUGAUGACCUUCUAGAUAUUACUACUGGCAAUUUCUUUGUGCUCACGCUUCUGGAACUCUUCUGUUGUGUUAGGAAGAGAGAGCAGGACAAAUUAUCCACAAGCUCUAUGUUUAAUUCAUCAUCUUAAAUAGGUUCCUUUGCUGCAUCAGGAGCUGCCUUUCUAACAGAAUGCAUUCUGCAUCGGGAUAAACUGUAUAUCCGCUUAGACUGAACAUUGUCUGGGCUUUUUUUCUGAGCAUAUUACGCAAAAAUGGAAGUGUUCAUGCACUGUUAGGAACCUUCCUCAUAAAAUACAACAUUUCCUGAUAAUUAAAAAAUUAUUUUGUAUUACUCCAUUCUUAUAUCUGGGCUGAAUACCUGCUAUCCAGGAAACAUAUUUCAGGUACUUGAUUUGAGUUGUGGCACAUUAUGAAAUGGCUAAUAUAAUCAACAAAUCACGCAGGACAAUAUAAUUUCUCAUUAAAAUUUACAUUCAGGUGUAAGGUUUGCAGGCGUUAUUUCACACUGUGCACAACAAAAUACUCCAUUUAACGAUCCAGUUAUACAAAUACUUAUUUUCGGGAAGUAUUUUACGCUCUUCAUACACGUCCAUUAAAAGUAUAACUCUUGCA